GGACGGGUGGUCGAGUGGUUAAAGGCAGCGGACUGUAAAUCCGCCCUCGCAAGAGUACGUAGGUUCGAAUCCUACCCCGUCCACCA
rnacentral:tRNA from 1 species